rnacentral:rRNA from 1 species
AACGAACGCUGGCGGCACGUUUUAAGCAUGCAAGUCGAACGGCAGUGGGGGCAACCCCAUGAGAGCGGCGAACGGGUGAGUAACACGUAGGUGAUCUGCCUUUGGGUUGGGGAUAGCUUGUGGAAACACAGGGUAAUACCGAAUGAGCUGACGAGGCUGUGGCCAUGUUAGUAAGGGUGCUACGGCACCGCCUAGAGAGGAGCCUGCGGCUGAUUAGCUAGUUGGUGGGGUAAAGGCCUACCAAGGCGACGAUCAGUAGCCGGCCUGAGAGGGUGUACGGCCACACUGGAACUGAGACACGGUCCAGACUCCUACGGGAGGCAGCAGCUAAGAAUCUUCCGCAAUGGGCGAAAGCCUGACGGAGCGAUGCCGCGUGAUCGAUGAAGGUCGAGAGAUUGUAAAGAUCUUUUCCAACUGAGGAAUAAGUGGACCAGGGAGUGGGUUCAUGAUGACGUUAAGUUGGGAAUAAGCCCCGGCUAAUUACGUGCCAGCCGCCGCCGUAA